UAAACUUAACUUAUCAGGGGGGUUUUCGACCAUUAUAAAAACAACAAGGAGAAAAUGAUAUAUGUUUAUUACUAUAGGAGAGAAAUUGGCAAUCCCCAAAAUAUUGUAUAGUUUUUUUACCAACAUUUACAAUACAUUUUAUUUUUAUUUCUAAAAAUAAUCGGAUAAAGCACAAAUUAAUUAUCUUAACCCUCUAUCUUCUCAAUAUUUAAACUCGAGUAACCAGCAAAAGUUGUUCCAUAAUGUUUAAAAGUCAUUUAAGAUACUACAUCAUUCAUAUUUUGCAAUCAUCCAAUCGUAAAGUAUCCCUUGUAAUAACAAUAAAUAAAAAUACACAUGUAUAUGUCAUACUGUCACUGAACCGCAGAAUGAUUGUCGUACUUGCAAUGCAUGCAUUUUAGACUUUGUCUUUCUCUUAUUUAAAUGAUCAAUAAUUUUCCUUUGUCCUUUAAUUAGACGUCAACAGUUGAACUUGUGGGCAAGUAGGCUAUAUAUAUAGUAACUUUCUGGGGAUAUUCUGUCUUUUAAGGUAUUGUAAAUAUCAAAUGAGAUCACUGUCUUGAUCAUUCAGAUACUACAUAAAUUAUUGAAAUGUUAGACAAGUCAAAAGAAUUGAUUCACACACACACACACACACACACACCAUUUCGUCUUUACAUUUUCCCGAACGCGUUUAGUUUAUAUACCAAAUGCAUGUAUCUUACGCAGGGGCUUAGUAAUGAGAGCGCCCUUGACUUGUUUGAUUGAUAAAUUUUUUUUUUUUUAAAAAAAAGGUAACAACUGGUUUUUGCAAUUACCAGCUGUGCUAUAAAAGAAUAAAAUAAUAAUAUGCAAUUAUUAGAUAUAUAAACAAUCAAAUCUAAAAAAUGAUGACUAAUUAAUCAAAUAAAAAAUUUGCGAAUGAGCAUUGGUUUUAUGUAUAACGACAGUUGUUUCGGAUUUAAUGAGUAAUGCUAAACUAUUUCGAGUUAAUAGUUAAACAUUUCAUAAUUUAUGUUAGCAUUAAUUUCAUGUUUGAUGGUAAAUUUAUGGGAUUCAGUUGUAGUAGUUUGAUCUCAUUUGUACUAGGUUAUAGAUUUGCAUUACAUAGCUUUAAAC
rnacentral:lncRNA from 1 species